rnacentral:rRNA from 2 species
CUAUGUUGGCGGCGUGCUAUACAUGCAGUCGAACGAGUUCUCGUUGAUGAUCGGUGCUUGCACCGAGAUUCAACAUGGAACGAGUGGCGGACGGGUGAGUAACACGUGGGUAACCUGCCCUUAAGUGGGGGAUAACAUUUGGAAACAGAUGCUAAUACCGCAUAGAUCCAAGAACCGCAUGGUUCUUGGCUGAAAGAUGGCGUAAGCUAUCGCUUUUGGAUGGACCCGCGGCGUAUUAGCUAGUUGGUGAGGUAAUGGCUCACCAAGGCGAUGAUACGUAGCCGAACUGAGAGGUUGAUCGGCCACAUUGGGACUGAGACACGGCCCAAACUCCUACGGGAGGCAGCAGUAGGGAAUCUUCCACAAUGGACGCAAGUCUGAUGGAGCAACGCCGCGUGAGUGAAGAAGGCUUUCGGGUCGUAAAACUCUGUUGUUGGAGAAGAAUGGUCGGCAGAGUAACUGUUGUCGGCGUGACGGUAUCCAACCAGAAAGCCACGGCUAACUACGUGCCAGCAGCCGCGGUAAUACGUAGGUGGCAAGCGUUAUCCGGAUUUAUUGGGCGUAAAGCGAGCGCAGGCGGUUUUUUAAGUCUGAUGUGAAAGCCCUCGGCUUAACCGAGGAAGCGCAUCGGAAACUGGGAAACUUGAGUGCAGAAGAGGACAGUGGAACUCCAUGUGUAGCGGUGAAAUGCGUAGAUAUAUGGAAGAACACCAGUGGCGAAGGCGGCUGUCUGGUCUGUAACUGACGCUGAGGCUCGAAAGCAUGGGGUAGCGAACAGGAUUAGAUACCCUGGUAGUCCAUGCCGUAAACGAUGAAUGCUAGGUGUUGGAGGGUUUCCGCCCUUCAGUGCCGCAGCUAACGCAUUAAGCAUUCCGCCUGGGGAGUACGACCGCAAGGUUGAAACUCAAAGGAAUUGACGGGGGCCCGCACAAGCGGUGGAGCAUGUGGUUUAAUUCGAAGCAACGCGAAGAACCUUACCAGGUCUUGACAUCUUUUGAUCACCUGAGAGAUCAGGUUUCCCCUUCGGGGGCAAAAUGACAGGUGGUGCAUGGUUGUCGUCAGCUCGUGUCGUGAGAUGUUGGGUUAAGUCCCGCAACGAGCGCAACCCUUAUGACUAGUUGCCAGCAUUUAGUUGGGCACUCUAGUAAGACUGCCGGUGACAAACCGGAGGAAGGUGGGGAUGACGUCAAAUCAUCAUGCCCCUUAUGACCUGGGCUACACACGUGCUACAAUGGAUGGUACAACGAGUUGCGAGACCGCGAGGUCAAGCUAAUCUCUUAAAGCCAUUCUCAGUUCGGACUGUAGGCUGCAACUCGCCUACACGAAGUCGGAAUCGCUAGUAAUCGCGGAUCAGCACGCCGCGGUGAAUACGUUCCCGGGCCUUGUACACACCGCCCGUCACACCAUGAGAGUUUGUAACACCCGAAGCCGGUGGCGUAACCCUUUUAGGGAGCGAGCCGUCUAAGGUGGGACAAAUGAUUAGGGUGAAGUCGAACAAAGAGCCCUAUCCCCC